rnacentral:rRNA from 1 species
CCAAUAGCGUAUAUUAAAGUUGUUGCAGUUAAAAAGCUCGUAGUUGAAUUUCGGGAUCAAUACGUCGGUCGUGCUUUUUUGGUACGCACUGGCGUCAUUGGUUUCUCCUUUCUGACGAACCAUGAUGUCAUUAAUUUGGUGUUAUGGGGAGUUAGGACUGUUACUUUGAAAAAAUUAGAGUGUUUAAAGCAGGCAUUAGCUUGAAUACAUUAGCAUGGAAUAAUGAAAUAGGACGUUCGAUCCUAUUUUGUUGGUUUCUAGGAUCAACGUAAUGAUUAAUAGGGAUAGUUGGGGGCAUUAGUAUUCAAUUGUCAGAGGUGAAAUUCUUGGAUUUAUUGAAGACUAACUACUGCGAAAGCAUUUGCCAAGGAUGUUUUCAUUAAUCAAGAACGAAAGUUAGGGGAUCGAAGACGAUCAGAUACCGUCGUAGUCUUAACCAUAAACUAUGCCGACUAGGGAUCGGAUGAUGUUAAUUUUUUAAUGACUCAUUCGGCGCCUUACG